GCAUAUCAAUAAGCGGAGGAAAAGAAAAUAACAAUGAUUCCCCUAGUAACUGCGAGUGAAGAGGGACAAGCUCAAAUUUUAAAUCUGUCGGGUUCUACCUGACCGAGUUGUAAUUUGAAGAGGCGUUUUCUGUGUUUCUGAUCAGUCCAAGUCCUUUGGGAUAAGGCAUCGCGGAGGGUGAGAAUCCCGUUCGGUUGAUCAGAUUCGCUUUACGAUACGUCAUCAAAGAGUCAAGUUGUUUGGGAUUGCAGCUUAAAAUGGGAGGUAAAUUUCUCCUAAGGCUAAAUAACGGCGAGAGACCGAUAGCGAACAAGUACCGUGAGGGAAAGAUGAAAAGAACUUUGAAAAGAGAGUUAAACAGUACGUGAAAUUGUUGAAAGGGAAACGAUUGAAGCCAGUCGUACCUGCGGGUAAUCAGCCUUUUGGGCGUGAUUCUGUGGAGCGUGAGGAGUUAAACGCCUUCAUGCCUGCAUAUUCGUGUACUUUGGGUGUACUUGCCCGUGUGGUUGGUUAACAUCAAUUUUGAUCGUCAUAAAAUGGCUGGAGGAAUGUGGCUUCGAUCUUGUAUUGAAGUGUUAUAGACUUCGGUAGAUGUGAUGAUCGGGAUUGAGGAUUGCAACGGAUACCCUUCGGGGCUACCUGUCUGAUCUCUGAUCGUUGCUCUGGUGCCGAAAGCGUGCUUACGGUUAUCAAAGUCGAUGGUCAAUAGGUUAGAACGGGUUAAAUUCGUUAAGGAUGUUGACGUAAUGGCUUUAAACGAC
rnacentral:rRNA from 1 species